rfam:Perkinsus marinus ATCC 50983 gcontig_1104296547708, whole genome shotgun sequence.
GUCUCGGUAUUUCAGUCGGCAGAGCGCGUGCCUUUUAAGCCCGUGGCCGCGGGUUCGAGCCCCGCCCGAGGUG